AUGAGGACAUGCAGUGACGAAGGCAAGACCAGAGAUCUGUCUUUGCUGAUGGCCAAAAUGGAUGAAAGUGGACAAGGUGAUCCCAGAUCUGAUAUGGCCCAGCACUCUUGGCACAGAUAUUUUACUGUGCUGAUAUCCUUUCAAAACUAUGUUUCAACAUAUUAUGAAGAUCUUCCAAUUCAAGCAGACGGAAUCUCAUGUUUUAGAGAAGAUAAGACCUUUGUAAGAUCCCUGUGAGAUCGAAGACCUGCCUAAUCCUGCAUCCUGUUUCUCCUCCUCUCCUCCCCAAAUGCCUCCAGGAAGCCCAGAAGCAGAACAGAAGUGCAAUAACCUUGUUCGAUGGUUGUUUCCCAGCAACCGUUGGCAUAUAUUCAGCAACCGAUGUUCAGAAGUAUCAUAUAGCCUUCAUGACUAAUCCACUGUCAUGAAAAAAGUGUGCAUUAAAAAGAACAGCGAAUGAGCGUCAGUACCAACGAAGAAGCAGAACUUCUGACACACACUUGGUGUCUUAUUCUUUUUAUUGUUCAGCAGUUUCCUUUUUGUUCUGUCAGAGAGAAAAGGUGAGUUGUCUUUACAGCGAUGUUGCUGUUAUACUUCAGGCCCACUUUGCUUGCUUCUUUUUUUCACCAGAAGAGAGAAAAAAAAACACAGUAUAAUUGCCUAGCAACUGCAAGGCAUUCACUCCUAAGACACUUUAUUGACAGAUUGUGAAAAGCAGCGACCCUAACCAUUAUUUAUCCUUAUGUAUGCAAAAAAUAAAAAUAAAAUUGCACUCUCUUGCCUGCAAAGAAAUGCCAUUGCAACAUUCCUCUGGUUAGUUUAAAGUUCUGGGAAAACUCUGCCUGGCUCCUUCCCUUUUUUCCAUUGUGUUUCAUAAUUUAUUAUAUUGAAGAUAUAAGGAAUCACUGAUGAAAGCAGUGAAGAUAAAGAAUAUGCUUGAACAUGUAAAGUGAAUUUUAAAAAUGCAAAUCUAAAUUCAUUAUCUACUCAUUCUUGAAUAGUAUACUCACUAUUCAAUUGCACACCACUAUACUUCAAUAGUGUUUCAAGAGAUACCAACCUUUUGUCAGUUGAAUUCAUUGUGAAACUGUGGAUUGCAUUUCCUGAAUGUCUGCUUCCACAAAGUAGAGAAAUUUAUUCUAGAAGCCAGUUUUCAAACCAAGCUCCAUUUCUACAGAUGUUUUAUGUACACAUUCAACUUCAGUACCAUGGAAACCGGUACUGAAAGCAUUAAGAUUACUCAAAGGAAAAAGCUUUGAUUAAAAUUGAG
rnacentral:lncRNA from 11 species